GACGAACGCUGGCGGCGUGCCUAAUACAUGCAAGUAGAACGCUGAAGAGAGGAGCUUGCUCUUCUUGGAUGAGUUGCGAACGGGUGAGUAACGCGUAGGUAACCUGCCUGGUAGCGGGGGAUAACUAUUGGAAACGAUAGCUAAUACCGCAUAAAAUGGAUUAUCGCAUGAUAAUCCAUUGAAAGGUGCAAAUGCAUCACUACCAGAUGGACCUGCGUUGUAUUAGCUAGUUGGUGGGGUAACGGCUCACCAAGGCGACGAUACAUAGCCGACCUGAGAGGGUGAUCGGCCGCACUGGGACUGAGACACGGCCCAGACUCCUACGGGAGGCAGCAGUAGGGAAUCUUCGGCAAUGGACGGAAGUCUGACCGAGCAACGCCGCGUGAGUGAAGAAGGUUUUCGGAUCGUAAAGCUCUGUUGUAAGAGAAGAACGAGUGUGAGAGUGGAAAGUUCACACUGUGACGGUAUCUUACCAGAAAGGGACGGCUAACUACGUGCCAGCAGCCGCGGUAAUACGUAGGUCCCGAGCGUUGUCCGGAUUUAUUGGGCGUAAAGCGAGCGCAGGCGGUUAGAUAAGUCUGAAGUUAAAGGCUGUGGCUUAACCAUAGUACGCUUUGGAAACUGUUUAACUUGAGUGCAAGAGGGGAGAGUGGAAUUCCAUGUGUAGCGGUGAAAUGCGUAGAUAUAUGGAGGAACACCGGUGGCGAAAGCGGCUCUCUGGCUUGUAACUGACGCUGAGGCUCGAAAGCGUGGGGAGCAAACAGG
rnacentral:rRNA from 1 species